rnacentral:rRNA from 1 species
UACAGGGGGUGCGAGCGUUAAUCGGAAUUACUGGGCGUAAAGCGUGCGUAGACGGUUAUUUAAGUCGGGUGUGAAAGCCCCGGGCUCAACCUGGGAAUUGCAUUCGAGACUGAAUAGCUAGGGUACGGUAGAGGGAAGUGGAAUUUCCGGUGUAGCGGUGAAAUGCGUAGAUAUCGGAAGGAACACCUGUGGCGAAAGCGGCUCACUGGACCAUAACUGACGCUGAGGCGCGAAAGCUAGGGGAGCAAACGGG